GACGAACGCUGGCGGUGUGCUUAACACAUGCAAGUCGAACGGAAAGGCCCUGCUUUUGCGGGGUGCUCGAGUGGCGAACGGGUGAGUAACACGUGAGUAACCUGCCCUUGACUUUGGGAUAACUUCAGGAAACUGGGGCUAAUACCGGAUAGGAGCUCCUGCUGCAUGGUGGGGGUUGGAAAGUUUCGGCGGUUGGGGAUGGACUCGCGGCUUAUCAGCUUGUUGGUGGGGUAGUGGCUUACCAAGGCUUUGACGGGUAGCCGGCCUGAGAGGGUGACCGGCACAUUGGGACCGGGAUACGGGCCAGACUCCUACGGGGGGGAAGAGGGGGGAAUAUUGCACAAUGGGCGGAAGCCUGAUGCAGCAACGCCGCGUGCGGGAUGACGGCCUUCGGGUUGUAAACCGCUUUCGCCUGUGACGAAGCGUGAGUGACGGUAAUGGGUAAAGAAGCACCGGCUAACUACGUG
rnacentral:rRNA from 1 species